CCUACGGGUGGCAGCAGUGGGGAAUAUUGCACAAUGGGGGAAACCCUGAUGCAGCGACGCCGCGUGAGUGAAGAAAUAUUUCGGUACGUAAAGCUCUAUCAGCAGGGAAGAAAAUGACGGUACCUGACUAAGAAGCCCCAGCUAACUACGUGCCAGCAGCCGCGGUAAUACGUAGGGGGCAAGCGUUAUCCGGAUUUACUGGGUGUAAAGGGAGCGUAGACGGCAGCGCAAGUCUGGAGUGAAAUCCCAUGGCUUAACCAUGGAACUGCUUUGGAAACUGUGCAGCUAGAGUGCAGGAGAGGUAAGCGGAAUUCCUAGUGUAGCGGUGAAAUGCGUAGAUAGUAGGAGGAACACCAGUGGCGAAGGCGGCUUACUGGACUGUAACUGACGUUGAGGCUCGAAAGCGUGGGGAGCAAACAGGAUUAGAUACCGAGUAGUC
rnacentral:rRNA from 1 species